rnacentral:rRNA from 1 species
UACGUAGGGGGCUAGCGUUGUCCGGAAUCAUUGGGCGUAAAGAGCGUGUAGGCGGCCCGGCAAGUCCGCUGUGAAAGUCGGGGGCUCAACCCUCGAAUGCCGGUGGAUACUGUCGGGCUAGAGUGCGGAAGAGGCGAGUGGAAUUCCUGGUGUAGCGGUGAAAUGCGCAGAUAUCAGGAGGAACACCGAUUGCGAAGGCAGGUCUCUGGGCAUUAACUGACGCUGAGGAGCGAAAGCAUGGGGAGCGAACAGG